AUAGGCGCCGUCUAGUAGGUCAAGUAAUGUACGGUACGCGUGAUCGUUUACCAGAACUAACGAGGCGUUUGGGUUUCUUGUCAAAUCAGAACCAAUUUGUCAAGGUCUUGAUUAAUUUGUGGUUUUAUCUUGAAAAUAAUGGGCGAGUUCUAAAGAAGGCGUACGAGUUCGGAGCUAGUAACAUUCCUCAUCCCCCGAAUGCUAAGGAGAUUUUGCUUUAUGACAUCUCCGCUAGUCAUUUUGUUCUCCAUAGUUUUGAGACAUAGUUUUGACCGUUUCUAAGAUUUUGACCUUGUAGAGGGCCGAACAAUAUAUUAAUAACCAUGACUUAUUUAAAUUGGAUAUAGAACUUGAAUUUAGAAUAAUUUAAAUAGACUAUAAAUAUUUAAGUACCAGGAAUACGUUAGAAUGAUUAUCAUAAUAGUUGUAACUUCUGUGACGAUAACAUCACACCACUGGUGAGUAACCAACUUUAACAAGAACGGAAAAUAGGUUCAAUUGAAGGUAUCUAGUACAUACAAGUAUGAGUUCUUUUUUUACUUUACUAAUAUUAUAAAUCAGAAUAUUGUAGCUAAAGAGUAAGUUUGUUGGAACGCAUUCAUUUAAGGAAUUAAGGGGGAAAAAAUAUAAAAUAUUUAUCGAGGAGGGCUAUUUAUGAUACCUACUUUAAGAUACCUACUUUUUAUCCUGGUGUGCGAACUAGGUAAAUAAAAUAAAAUGCAAUAAUUUGUACACCUGAAGCAACUUCCAGUUUCAAUAAAUAUUUUUUGAGGUUAUUGUUAUUGCCUACCUAUAUCCAUUUCAAAACAAAACUACAUAUUAUUGAUGUGACUUUUUAAUUUCAGAAUUUUAUUUUAUGUCUGUGAUUUAUUAACCCAAAAUUGAUGAAUUUCCAGAAAAGCAAAAUGGUGCGGUUUACAUUGAUACUGAGUAUUUUUCUUAUUGGCAGUCUCGUUGUUUUAGCCAAGCCAAGAGAAAAGAGUUUUGAGGAACAAGUUGAAGAAUGUCUAUCUUACGAGGGCAGGGUUAUUUACGAUACAAGUGUAAAAUGUCCUACAUACCAAUGUAUUCUGGAUGAUGGAUCCGAAUGGCCAGACUUAAACCCAACAAAAAAAUGUGAAUCCUAAACGCGUAUAGUAUUAAUAAUAUGCUUUUUUGUUUCAAUAAAAUAUUAAGUAGUAAAA